CCGGCAGCCAACGUGCAUCACAUCUCAGUUGCUGGCAACCAAGAUGUCGGUCAACCAAGAAAAAAAGUCAAUUGUCAUUUAUCAGCAACCCUUCAUCCAGGAAGUGCUGCUUGUGAGUAAUUGUUCAAAACCUGCCAGAAACUGA
rnacentral:lncRNA from 1 species